GUUCGUGUCUCAUGAGGAGCUUCUUGCGCUCUCUGAACGCCCGUCGGACCUUGUAGCCCUUGUAGAGAGCCUGGAUGGACGAGGCGGCGAUGUCCUGGAUGGCGGCGAUAGAUAGAGCUCCAUGCUCCAAUAGAAACUGGAUUCAAACCUGCUUCCAGAUCCUUAACCACCACUAUGCCACAUCUCAAGAACCAUGUACAUGCAUGAAUGUUCAUUACCUCUCCUCGGUGUGCUCCAUAUGGUUGGGAAAGGCUCCACACCCCAGGAGCAGCUUCACAGCAUCCAGAUAUCCGUUAUUACAGGACCAGUGGAGUGCGGUUCUCCCCUUAACAAAUAAACAUACUCAAAAGUCA